GACCCUUUCAUCUAGUGGCCAAGGAUACUAUGUUUUCAUCAUAGGAACAGAGGUUCAAAUCCUCUAGGGGUCG
rnacentral:tRNA from 1 species